rnacentral:rRNA from 1 species
GAUGAACGCUGGCGGCGUGCCUAAUACAUGAAAGUCGAGCGAACAGAUGAGGAGCUUGCUCCUCUGACGUUAGCGGCGGACGGGUGAGUAACACGUGGAUAACCUACCUAUAAGACUGGGAUAACUUCGGGAAACCGGAGCUAAUACCGGAUAAUAUAUUGAACCGCAUGGUUCAAUAGUGAAAGACGGUUUUGCUGUCACUUAUAGAUGGAUCCGCGCCGCAUUAGCUAGUUGGUAAGGUAACGGCUUACCAAGGCAACGAUGCGUAGCCGACCUGAGAGGGUGAUAGGCCACACUGGAACUGAGACACGGUCCAGACUCCUACGGGAGGCAGCAGUAGGGAAUCUUCCGCAAUGGGCGAAAGCGUGACGGAGCAACGCCGCGUGAGUCAUGAAGGUCUUCGGAUCGUAAAACUCUGUUAUUAGGGAAGAACAAAUGUGUAAGUAACUAGGCACGUCUUGACGGUACCCAAUCAGAAAGCCACGGCUAACUACGUG